rnacentral:rRNA from 1 species
CAAGUCGACGGCAGCACGGGGGCAACCCUGGUGGCGAGUGGCGAACGGGUGAGUAAUACAUCGGAACGUGCCCAGUCGUGGGGGAUAACGUAGCGAAAGCUACGCUAAUACCGCAUACGAACUGAGGUUGAAAGCGGGGGACCGUAAGGCCUCGCGCGAUUGGAGCGGCCGAUGGCAGAUUAGGUAGUUGGUGGGGUAAAGGCUCACCAAGCCGACGAUCUGUAGCUGGUCUGAGAGGACGACCAGCCACACUGGGACUGAGACACGGCCCAGACUCCUACGGGAGGCAGCAGUGGGGAAUUUUGGACAAUGGGCGCAAGCCUGAUCCAGCCAUUCCGCGUGCAGGAUGAAGGCCCUCGGGUUGUAAACUGCUUUUGUACGGAACGAAAAGGCUCUGGUUAAUACCUGGGGCUCAUGACGGUACCGUAAGAAUAAGCACCGGCUAACUACGUGCCAGCAGCCGCGGUAAUACGUAGGGUGCAAGCGUUAAUCGGAAUUACUGGGCGUAAAGCGUGCGCAGGCGGUGAUGUAAGACAGGUGUGAAAUCCCCGGGCUUAACCUGGGAACUGCAUUUGUGACUGCAUCGCUGGAGUGCGGCAGAGGGGGAUGGAAUUCCGCGUGUAGCAGUGAAAUGCGUAGAUAUGCGGAGGAACACCGAUGGCGAAGGCAAUCCCCUGGGCCUGCACUGACGCUCAUGCACGAAAGCGUGGGGAGCAAACAGGAUUA